rnacentral:rRNA from 1 species
GACGAACGCUGGCGGCGCGCCUAACACAUGCAAGUCGAGCGAUGAAAUUUUAACCGAUCUCUUCGGAGUGAAGAUAAACUGGAUUAGCGGCGGACGGGUGAGUAACACGUGAGAAACCUGCCUUUCACAAGGGGACAGCCUCGGGAAACCGGGAUUAAUACCCUAUGACACAUUUCCUUCUCAUGGACGCAAUGUUAAAACUCCGGUGGUGAAGGAUGGUCUCGCGCCUGAUUAGCUAGUUGGUGGGGUAACGGCCCACCAAGGCCAUGAUCAGUAACCGGGCUGAGAGGGUGAGCCGUCACAUUGGAACUGAGACACAGUCCAGACUCCUGCGGGAGGCAGCAGUGGGGAAUAUUGCACAAUGGAGGGAACUCUGAUGCAGCGACGCCGCGUGAGCGAUGAAGGCUUUCGAGUCGUAAAGCUCUGUCCUAUGGGAAGAUAAUGACGGUACCAGAGGAGGAAGCCCCGGCUAACUACGUG